rnacentral:rRNA from 1 species
GACGAACGCUGGCGGCGGGCUUAACACAUGCAAGUCGAACGAACGCCUUCGGGCGUUAGUGGCGCACGGGUGAGUAACACGUAGGCAGUCUACCCUCGGCUGGGGAAUAACCAGGGGAAACCCUGGCUAAUACCGCAUAACAUCUGGACGUCGCCUGGCGACCAGAUCAAAGCUUUAUGUGGCCGAGGAUGAGCCUGCGUCGGAUUAGCUAGUUGGUGGGGUAACGGCCUACCAAGGCGACGAUCCGUAGCGGGUCUGAGAGGGUGAUCCGCCACACUGGCACUGAGACACGGGCCAGACUCCUACGGGAGGCAGCAGUGAGGAAUAUUGCGCAAUGGACGAAAGUCUGACGCAGCCACGCCGCGUGCAGGAAGA